UCAUAAACCUAGCGACAGCAGAGGAUAAAAAAUUUCAGUUCUCCUUAAAGAAAUUAGGGGUAAACAAUAUCCCUGGUAUUGAAGAGGUGAAUAUGUUUACACACCAAGGAACAGUGAUUCACUUUAACAACCCUGAAGUUCAGGCAUCGCUGGCAGCAAACACUUUCACCAUGACAGGCCAUGCUGAGACAAAGCAGCUGACAGAAAUGCUACUCAGCAUCGAUCAUAAACCAGUGCUGCAGAUGGUCUGACUAGUUCAAAGAGACUGGCUAACACUGCCCAAACAAUCUGUGGGUGGAAAAGCACCACUUGCUACUGGAGAGGAUGAUGAAGUUCUAGAUCUUGUGGAGAAUUCUGAUGAGGCUUCCAACAAUGAGGCAAACUGAAUUAAGUCAACUUCUGAAGAAGAUAAAACUUGAAGUAGUUACUGAGAGCUGCUGUUUUAUGUUAUGACUGCUUUUUAAAAAUGUUUUGUUUACAGAUCUAAUAAAAUCUAGAUCUCUAAUAUUUUUAAGCCCCUUGGACACUGCAGCUCUUUUCAGUUUUUGCUUAUAUACAAUUCACUCUUUGCAGCUAAUUAAGCUGAAGAAGCCUGGGAAUAAAGUUUGAAACAAAGGUUAAUAAAGCUCUUUGCCUAGUA